AGUGAACGCUGGCGGUAGGCCUAACACAUGCAAGUCGAACGGCAGCACAGUAAGAGCUUGCUCUUACGGGUGGCGAGUGGCGGACGGGUGAGGAAUACAUCGGAAUCUACUUUUUCGUGGGGGAUAACGUAGGGAAACUUACGCUAAUACCGCAUACGACCUACGGGUGAAAGCAGGGGAUCUUCGGACCUUGCGCGAUUGAAUGAGCCGAUGGCGGAUUAGCUAGUUGGUGGGGUAAAGGCCCACCAAGGCGACGAUCCGUAGCUGGUCUGAGAGGAUGAUCAGCCACACUGGAACUGAGACACGGUCCAGACUCCUACGGGAGGCAGCAGUGGGGAAUAUUGGACAAUGGGCGCAAGCCUGAUCCAGCCAUACCGCGUGGGUGAAGAAGGCCUUCGGGUUGUAAAGCCCUUUUGUUGGGAAAGAAAAGCAGCAGGUUAAUACCCCGCUGUUCUGACGGUACCCAAAGAAUAAGCACCGGCUAACUUCGUG
rnacentral:rRNA from 1 species